UUCAUACUCCCUCCGUCCAACAGAAGAUGUCUCAAGUUUGUCAAAAUUUAGAUGAAAUUAGACAUAACUCAGUGUAUAGAUGCAUUCAAAUUUACUUAAAGUUGAGACAUUCUUUGUUGGACGGAGGGAGUACAAU
rfam:Brachypodium distachyon strain Bd21 chromosome 3, whole genome shotgun sequence.